rfam:Salmo salar isolate Sally breed double haploid chromosome ssa05, whole genome shotgun sequence.
UGCAUUCACUACUGUAAGUCACUCUGGAUAAGAGCGUCUGCUAAAUGACUGAAA